rnacentral:tRNA from 1 species
AAACAAUUAAUUUAACAGGUGAAAAUAUUUUCUAGUUAGAAAAUUUAUCGGUUCGAGUCCGUUAUUGUUUA